AGAGUUUGAUCCUGGCUCAGGAUGAACGCUGGCGGCGUGCCUAACACAUGCAAGUUGAGCGAUUUACUUCGGUAAAGAGCGGCGGACGGGUGAGUAACGCGUGGGUAACCUACCCUGUACACACGGAUAACAUACCGAAAGGUAUGCUAAUACGGGAUAAUAUAUUUGAGAGGCAUCUCUUAAAUAUCAAAGGUGAGCCAGUACAGGAUGGACCCGCGUCUGAUUAGCUAGUUGGUAAGGUAACGGCUUACCAAGGCGACGAUCAGUAGCCGACCUGAGAGGGUGAUCGGCCACAUUGGAACUGAGACACGGUCCAAACUCCUACGGGAGGCAGCAGUGGGGAAUAUUGCACAAUGGGCGAAAGCCUGAUGCAGCAACGCCGCGUGAGUGAUGAAGGCCUUCGGGUCGUAAAACUCUGUCCUCAAGGAAGAUAAUGACGGUACUUGAGGAGGAAGCCCCGGCUAACUACGUGCCAGCAGCCGCGGUAAUACGUAGGGGGCUAGCGUUAUCCGGAUUUACUGGGCGUAAAGGGUGCGUAGGCGGUCUUUCAAGUCAGGAGUGAAAGGCUACGGCUCAACCGUAGUAAGCUCUUGAAACUGGGAGACUUGAGUGCAGGAGAGGAGAGUGGAAUUCCUAGUGUAGCGGUGAAAUGCGUAGAUAUUAGGAGGAACACCAGUUGCGAAGGCGGCUCUCUGGACUGUAACUGACGCUGAGGCACGAAAGCGUGGGGAGCAAACAGGAUUAGAUACCCUGGUAGUCCACGCUGUAAACGAUGAGUACUAGGUGUCGGGGGUUACCCCCUUCGGUGCCGCAGCUAANCACUCAUCUUCUAAUUACCUCCCACUUAUUAUUGAUUUGGUCAUUGCUAUUUUUCCAUUUGCAAAACUUAUCAAAGCAUUAUAUUGUAAUGUUGCCAUUGCUUGAUUUACUUUUUCUUCUUCUAUGUCUACAUUAUUACCAUCUACUCUUAAACCUUUAGAAUUGUCUGUUUUUUCUUCUAUUUUAGGCAUAGUAUCAUUUAGUGUUUCUUCAAAAGUUAUAUAAUGUCUUUUAUAUCCUUCAGUAUUUAUAUUUGCUAUAUUAUUUGCUAUUGUCUGACUUCUUAGAUUAGUUGCAUCUAAUCCCAUUUUUAUAAUGUCAUAUGUAUUCACACUCACCCCUCCUCAAAAUAUAUUUUAUCUAUUUUGUUUAUUAAUAAAAAAUGAAGUUGCUAUAUUACAAAAAAGAGCAACUUUUUGAAGAAAUAUUUAAAUACAUAUUAAAAUUUUUUUAUAUUUUCAUGGGACUUCAUUGAAAAAAUAUUAGUUUUCUUACUAAAAUGAUACAUUAUUGUAUUAAUGUAAUGGAAAUGCGAUUAAUUUAAAUGAAUAAAGAAGUCAUUUUUUGUAAAAUAGUAACUUUUUGAGAUAAUUUUUCUUUAUUUUAUGUUAUAAUUGGUAAAAUAUGUUAUUAUAUGUGUUUUCUACUAAAAUAAAGUAAUUUUUCCAUAACAAAAUGACUGCCAAAAAGGCAGUCAUUCUAGACUUUUCUUAGGUAUACAAUACACCUAGGACUCUUUUUGGCAACUGGCUGACAUAGUUCAUGUAUACAAACCUUAGUCCCUAUAGCUUUGCGUCACUAGAUUUCUCUAGAUUUGCCUAUUUAGUUUUAACUUAAGUAUACAAUAAAUAACAAAUUUUUUAAAUAUUUUUUUAAGUAUUUUUUCUAUAUAAUUUUUUAAUUUAAUUUUUAAUAUUAAUUUUUAUAAUAUUUUUAAUAUAUUUAUAUUUAUAACAUUUAAUUUAUAUAAUGUACAUAUAUAUUAAAAAUAUACAAAAAUUUACAAUAUAAAAUAAAUUUAUUCUAAGUUUGUCUUUUACAAUAAUUUCAUUAAGACCAUAUAUUCUAACAUUACUUUCCAAUUAUAUGCUUAGGAGUACAUAUCUAUUUAAAGUUUUCCCUUUUAUUUUCACUUUUAGGGAUAAAAAAUUUGUAAUUUUCUCUACUUUUGAUAAAUUUUAUUUUAGACUGGUUAUAUAGGAAUACAGUCUAAAAUGUUGUAUAGAGUAACAAAAUAAAUUUAAAAAAGGUCAAACUUUAAUUAAUUUGCCCUUUAUUAUCUUAUAUUUAUUAAAAUUGAUAAUUUUUUAACUCCUUCUUAAGCCUAAAUUUAUCUAAUUAUCAAUUAAUUUUAACUAAAUAUGGUUAUUCAAAACGUAUUCUAAUACAUUAGUAUGUAUUUUUUCACCACAACUUCCAUCUGUAUUUGAUAGUACACUAUUUAAAGAAUUUAAUCUUUGAUUUAGCUUAUAAUCAUUAUUAUUUUUUACUAAGUUCAUAAAUUUUAUUAAAUCCAUAUCUUCUUCUCCUACUAUAUAAUUUGAAAAUAUAUCGAAUAUUCUUGAAUCAUAAUAUCCACGUUCCAUAUCUAUAUCAUAAAUUAAUAUAGGUUUCUUCGUUUGAAUAUAUUCUAUUAAUACAGAAGACCUAUCCGUUAUUAAAGCAUGGGAUAAGUUGAAUGAUUCAUAGUAAGAUACAGAGUCAUCUAAAAUAAUAUUAUUUUUUAUAGAUAUUGAAUCUAGCAAAGUUUUGUAUCUAUUAAAACAUUCUGGAACUUUAGAUUUUACAUACUCAAGUUCUAAUGGAUGUGGUCUAUAUAUAAGACCAUACUCUUGACUAUUUUCAAUAAUAUCAAAUACAUUUUCAAUCUCAUCAAUGACACCAUCUUUUCCAUUAGGUAUUUUCAUUAGAUUAGUUGUCCAUAAGAAAAUUAUUUUACCCUUUAAUUUAGAUUCAUAAUCUUUAUUUAUAUUAUUCUGUUUUAAAUUGUAAAUUAAAGAAUCAAAUUUUGGAGAUCCCAUUGUUAGUAUUUGAUUUUUAUUUAUACCACUACAUUCUGCUAUAAUUUCAAAUGCAGGAGAUUGCACAAUAACCUUAUCAAAAUUUCUAGAUGCUAUCAGUUCAUAAAAAUUUAAGUAAAAACUAACAGGAUAAGUUCCAAGUAUUCCAUAAGCAACAUAUACAAGCAUAUUAGUAUAUUGUUUCAAGUUAUAAGAAAAAUAAUUACUAUCUACCAUUGUAGCAUUGUUACAAUCAUCAUAUUGAUUAUGAACAUAUAUUAUAUCAGGCUUCUCCUUAGAUAAAUCAAAAUCAUCAUAAUGUAUUAUUGGAACAUAUUCAGGAAAAUCAUUACCUUCAUAUGUAUAUAUUUGAGUUAUACCAUUAGGCGUAUCAAUUAACUUGUAAUAAGGUAUGGGAACUACAUAGCAGUCACACUGCUCAUCCAAAACCG
rnacentral:rRNA from 1 species